UACGAAGGGGGCUAGCGUUGCUCGGAAUCACUGGGCGUAAGGGCGCGUAGGCGGACUUUUAAGUCGGGGGUGAAAGCCCAGGGCUCAACCCUGGAAUUGCCUUCGAUACUGGGAGUCUUGAGUUCGGAAGAGGUUGGUGGAACUGCGAGUGUAGAGGUGAAAUUCGUAGAUAUUCGCAAGAACACCGGUGGCGAAGGCGGCCAACUGGUCCGAUACUGACGCUGAGGCGCGAAAGCGUGGGGAGCAAACAGG
rnacentral:rRNA from 1 species